rnacentral:rRNA from 1 species
GUGCCAGCAGCCGCGGUAAUACGAAGGGUGCAAGCGUUACUCGGAAUUACUGGGCGUAAAGCGUGCGUAGGUGGUUGGUUAAGUCUGUCGUGAAAGCCCUGGGCUCAACCUGGGAACUGCGAUGGAAACUGGUCAACUAGAGUGUGGUAGAGGGUAGCGGAAUUCCUGGUGUAGCAGUGAAAUGCGUAGAUAUCAGGAGGAACAUCCAUGGCGAAGGCAGCUACCUGGGCCAACACUGACACUGAGGCACGAAAGCGUGGGGAGCAAACCAGGAUUAGAUACCCUGGUAGUCC